GCCACCACUGACAUCAGGGCUGUGUUUUCCAGCCAGCCUGGAAACAAAAGUUGGGGUCGGGGGAAGACAUUAUGCUUGUGUCCUCCCCAGGUGAGCUGUGGACAGUUAAGGUGUUUUCCUCACCAUAAUAAUGGGCUCUGAGAAAUCAUGUUACUAAAAAUCAGUGUUUGGGGGACUUUUUAUUAACUUCCUGCAGCUGUGUUCCUGUAAACUCAGUGGCGAUUAUUGUAUUGUUCCUAUUUUUAGAAGAAGCUGAUGUUUAACUCUGGAUCCACCCACUGUGUACAGAAUACAUUGUAAUAGUCGGCACGGGAUGA
rnacentral:lncRNA from 1 species